UAAGCAAUUCGACGUGUAAGCUUAGAAAAAAUACUUGUAAACUGUCAAAAAUGAUUUGUCAAUACUUUGAAAUAAUGUGAGACUUACAGAAAUCUCCAACGACUCUCAUUUCGUGGCUUGCAACCGGUGACAAUUGAAUUUUCACAAAAUAUUGAUUAUUCUGAACGACCUAUAUCAUCAUGUGAAAACGUGUAUUUUCCGUUCGGUACUGCACAAAGUAUGUUUUUGAAAUGCGUCUAUUUAUUUUAGUUUAGACGAUUCACCGAUGGUUUAAAGUUGAUGUUGGAUUUGUUUGAACUGUCACAAUCUAGCACUAGCUCACGUUUACCUAAGUGGUGUAGCUAUUAAAACAUGUGUACCAGAUUGUGCUGCGAAUCAGUGUUUUAAGUGUAAGGGGAUCAUAAAUUUAUUUCAUAAUUUCAUCCAUACUAAUGGUGUUGCCAUAUAUUUGGAGAAACAGAAACUUAUUGAGAAAAAAGUACAAAGUCAUAACUUUAUAUAUAUGGAGGAUAUUUGACGUGCCAAACAUGUUGGAUAAAAUUUACUCAGGCAGUCCUCCAUGCACUCUUGAUGUUGAAUACCAUUAUCCCUGGGAUUUUGCUCAGUACGUGCAUUAUCCAUAUCAUUUACAACAAGUGGGACUAAUUUAGUUCCGUACCCUAAGGAAGCGCCAUGUGUUUGGUGCAAACAGACUUUUAUUUUAUUGAUGAAAGUCAGCGCACUGGAAAAGGAGUGGAAAGUGUGGUGUCUAGGGCUCAUCAUUAUUUGCAUUUCUAUGGCAUAGGAGAAAAACAUGCACAGGUUGUAUAAUACUAAAACAAAACAUGUUAUACCUUAAUAUAUUUCAUUGAAUCUGACUAUUGUAAAAAAGCAACACCUAUUGGCAAAUGGCACACUAAAGAGAACAGAAAGGUGCAAACAACUGCAGGCUAACUAUGGUUUAUGACAUGGUUUUAAAAUCACCAGCAGUAUAAUUGCAAAAAUGCAAGCAUUAAAUUUUAAAGUGCUCGAUUGUCAAAAUAUCAAGUUAAUUUUAUUUAUUCUUUAAAGGCAAUGCCACAAUUAUCAGAUUAAGCAUUGAUGUACUUAUAAACUCUUGUUGUAUCUUAAUACAUAGGUAGAUUAACUGGAUUAGUUGACCAUAUAAUGUAACACCUGAGUUAAUUUUACCUGUAAAUAAUUGACCAAUCAUUGUUUGAUUGGAGAAAUGUAUAUUAUAUCUUUUUGAAUAAGCUUACACCUGAACUGACUUUUGACUAGAGCACAUGACAUUUUAUAAAAUGCAUAAAAGGACAUUAUAGAAUAUUUGGCAGAAGUUUAUUUAAAAGAAUCUUGAAAUUUCCUAGUUAAUUAGCAAGGCGAUACUUUAUGGUCAGAAGUAUUUUCCUGUUUAUUGAGCUUGUCACUGGAAACCAGAUAUCAGGGUUGGUUGGAGGAGAGAUACUCGUAGCUCUUGGUAUUGGUAGUGGGUGCCUUCAACACGGCUUUGUAGCACAGUUGAGAUCUUUGACUGAUGUGGAGAGCUGGUAUAGGAACGAGUACAGUAACUGAAACAUUGUACAGUGGUUGGAUGUUUCCGUCAUAAGUAUUAAUGUCGGUGUCUGGACUAUAUUUAGAUAUUUAUAUGGUCGGAGUAUUUCAAUAAUACUGAACAGUUUUCUACUACAAGAAACAUUGACCAAAUCUGUUGGUCGGAGUUGAACUAACUUUAGUGUUGAUAACAUUGAGGAUCAUGCAUUGGUUGGUGAUUCUAGAGACAUUCAGUUCUUAAGACGGAAAUGUUAGGUGGAAGUGUUGUUGGUUGGUCUAGAUUUGAUUCCAGGAUUACAGAACUUUUCAUUAUUUAACAGAAUAUCUUUGUUUUAUAUGCAUAAUAUACUUCAUAUUUAAUUUGAUUAUUAAAAGAUUGAUCAAAGUUAAUUAAAUUUGUUAGGUGGUUAUUGCAGUAGUAGAGCUACCCACUCUGGCCAAUCCUGACUUGUGACAUUGAUCUUUUCUUUUUUAAUUUAAAAAUAAAUAAUCUUUAUUAUAUGAAGCAAGAUUUUCUUCCAUUUGUACUCAUUAUUGUAAUAAUAAGUAUUACAAAUAACAAAUAUGACUAUGAUAUCAUUUUAGUAAAGGAUAAAAUCUGUUUAAAGAAUAAAUCUUAUCGUGCUGUUGUGAUGCAUAUUUUGCUGUUGUGAUGCAUAUUUUGCAUAUCAAAAGGUUGAAAAAUCUCUAGCAGUUUCACCAAAGGGGGUGUGUUUAUUUACUUUUCUUCUUUAUACGAAAACAAGCCUACUGACCCAUUGCUUUUAUUUGUUCAUUGUUUUCAGCAUUUUUUUCCUAUACUAUAUGUACAUUUGAAAAAAAUCUAUGAAUGGAAACUGUAGGAUUUAUCUUGAAUGAAGAAACAUUGAAAAAAAGAAUAGAAAACUUAAACAAAUAAUGUGGAAAUAUUUUACAGCAAAUAAUACCUAUACUUAUGUA